rnacentral:rRNA from 1 species
AAGCGCUUGCAGCCAGACUUGCCUGUAGUUGCUCAUCCGAGCUUUUGUUCGGUGCACUCUUCUGCGGGCAGGCCAGCAUCAGUUCGGGCGGUCGGAUAAAGGCCUUGGGAAUGUAGCUCCCCUCGGGGAGUGUUAUAGCCCAGGGUGUCAUGCGACCAGUCUGGACUGAGGUCCGCGCAUCUGCUAGGAUGCUGGCAUAAUGGCUGUAAGCGG